rnacentral:rRNA from 1 species
CCUACGGGAGGCAGCAGUGGGGAAUAUUGCACAAUGGGGGAAACCCUGAUGCAGCAACGCCGCGUGAAGGAAGACGGUUUUCGGAUUGUAAACUUCUGUCCUUAGUGAAGAAGAAUGACGGAAGUUAAGGAGCAAGCCACGGCUAAUUACGUGCAAGCAGCCGCGGUAAUACGUAGGUGGCAAGCGUUUCCCGGAAUUACGGGGUGUAAGGGGAGCGCAGGCGGGAAGGCAAGUCAGCUGUGAAAGCUAUGGGCUUAACUUGUAGACUGCAGUUGAAACUGGUUUGCUUGAGUGAAGUAGAGGUUAGCGGAAUUCCGAGUGUAGCGGUGAAAUGCGUAGAUAUUCGGAGGAACACCAGUGGCGAAGGCGGCCAACUGGGCUUUAAAUGACGCUGAGGCUCGAAAGUGUGGGGAGCAAACAGGAUUAGAUACCCUGGUAGUC